GGGCAAUUAGCUCAGCUGGAUAGAGCGUUGGCCUCCGGAGCCAAAGGCCGCGCGUUCGAAUCGCGCAUUGCCCA
rnacentral:tRNA from 1 species